CGAAAUGCGAUAAGUAAUGUGAAUUGCAGAAUUCAGUGAAUCAUCGAAUCUUUGAACGCACAUUGCGCCCCCUGGUAUUCCGGGGGGCAUGCCUGUUCGAGCGUCAUUUCACCACUCAAGCCUCGCUUGGUAUUGGGCAACGCGGUCCGCCGCGUGCCUCAAAUCGACCGGCUGGGUCUUCUGUCCCCUAAGCGUUGUGGAAACUAUUCGCUAAAGGGUGUUCGGGAGGCUACGCCGUAAAACAACCCCAUUUCUAAGGUUGACCUCGGAUCAGGUAGGGAUACCCGCUGAACUUAAGC
rnacentral:misc_RNA from 1 species